AACGAACGCUGGCAGCAUGCCUAACACAUGCAAGUCGAACGAGACCUUCGGGUCUAGUGGCGCACGGGUGCGUAACGCGUGGGAACCUGCCUUUAGGUUCGGAAUAACUCAGAGAAAUUUGAGCUAAUACCGGAUGAUGUCUUCGGACCAAAGAUUUAUCGCCUUUAGAUGGGCCCGCGUUGGAUUAGCUAGUUGGUGGGGUAAAGGCCUACCAAGGCGACGAUCCAUAGCUGGUCUGAGAGGAUGAUCAGCCACACUGGGACUGAGACACGGCCCAGACUCCUACGGGAAGCAGCAGUGGGGAAUAUUGGACAAUGGGCGAAAGCCUGAUCCAGCAAUGCCGCGUGAGUGAUGAAGGCCUUAGGGUUGUAAAGCUCUUUUACCCGAGAUGAUAAUGACAGUAUCGGGAGAAUAAGCUCCGGCUAACUCCGUG
rnacentral:rRNA from 1 species